rnacentral:rRNA from 1 species
ACUGCGUACCUUUUGUAUAAUGGGUCAGCGAGUUAUUGUCAGUAGCGAGGUUAACCGUUUAGGGGAGCCGUAGGGAAACCGAGUCUUAAUAGGGCGUCUUAGUUGCUGGUAAUAGACCCGAAACUGGGCGAUCUAGCCAUGGCCAGGUUGAAGGUGCCGUAACAGGCACUGGAGGACCGAACCCACCUAUGUUGAAAAAUGGGGGGAUGAGCUGUGGCUCGGAGUGAAAGGCUAAUCAAGCCCAGAGAUAGCUGGUUCUCCUCGAAAGCUAUUUAGGUAGCGCCUCGUGUCUAACUGUUGGGGGUAGAGCACUGUGUCGGCUAGGGGGUCAUCCCGACUUACCAACCCGAUGCAA